CCUACGGGAGGCUGCAGUGAGGAAUAUUGGUCAAUGGACGAGAGUCUGAACCAGCCAAGUAGCGUGAAGGAUGACUGCCCUACGGGUUGUAAACUUCUUUUAUAAGGGAAUAAAACGUUCCACGUGUGGGUUUUUGUAUGUACUAUAUGAAUAAGGAUCGGCUAACUCCGUGCCAGCAGCCGCGGUAAUACGGAGGAUCCGAGCGUUAUCCGGAUUUAUUGGGUUUAAAGGGAGCGUAGGUGGAUUGUUAAGUCAGUUGUGAAAGGUUGCGGCUCAACCGUAAAAUUGCAGUUGAAACGGGCAGUCUUGAGUACAGUAGAGGUAGGCGGAAUUCGUGGUGUAGCGGUGAAAUACUUAGAUAUCACGAAGAACUCCGAUUGCGAAGGCAGCUCACUAGACUGCCACUGACACUGAGGCUCGAAAGUGUGGGUAUCAAACAGGAUUAGAUACCCUUGUAGUC
rnacentral:rRNA from 1 species